AUCACUCUCUUCACUUUACAAGGGAAACCCUUUCUGAAUAAUUUACCAUGUCUCUGAAAAUGUUUCAAAUUUUGGUGUCUGCUCUGCUGUUUACAGCUUCUGUUUCAAGUGUCCUCGGAGCUCCCUUUCGGACAGAAGAAUCACCAAAUCAAUUCAUAUGGCUGAAACGACACAUCCCAUACUCUCCAAGCUACUGGGACUCAAGCAGCAGCCAGAACACGUGGGGAUACACUGUGGCUGAACAGAUUAGUGAGUCACUGGCAGCUUUGAGAGAAACAGCACAAUACUACAUGGGCUUGGAGCCUUUUGCCUUCGAUCCCUCGCUAGCCGUGUUCGAUGGGGCUUCUCAACAGAGCAUUUUGUAGACUUGGAGCCUGCGUGUACCUCACAACAACAUCAGAUCCUAUAUGGAGCUACUACAGAAGUCUGGGACUCACCUCCACCAAAAAGCUAUUAAAUCCUACACAUCUUGUAUCUGGCCAUUUUAGGAUAUGGCAUGUUAUGUAUUUACCAUUAUGUAUUUGAUAAGAUGACUUUAUCUCAUCCCAUUUGGGUCUAAACCCAAAAUUAAUAGACUAAUUCUCUGCAUAAAUACUGCAUAUUUUAUAUUCAUAAGUAGAACUGAGAUGUAGGUCAUGGUAAAUUGAAUAAGAAAUUGAAGAAAACCAACCAUGAACUUUUAGCAGGUUGGGUUUGAAAAUGCCUAGUAUUUUCAGAUAAAACAUUCUUUUGACUAAACAAUUGUUUGAAGAUGUACAUUCCUGCUUCUGUGACUGAAAACUACGUUUUUAUUUCUCAGUAUUUUCCUUUAGCUACAUGUUUGGGAGGCGAAUGAGAAAUGAAAGUCAGUCACUUUGGAUGGGUGAGAGAAAGAGAGCACAUUUGCUUCAGAUGUACUUCUGUAGUUCAAGGGCAUUUCCCUUUUUUCAAGUAUCAGUAGUAAGUUUUGUAGUACACAUCCAUUCAUGUCAACGUUUCUCCUUCCUCAUUUAAUAUUCUGUACUUGGUUUUCAAUGCCCAAACCAACUGAACCCACAGCUACUACUGUGAAUUGUUUUUUCUUACUCCACAGAGAUAGGAAAUGGUGGAAACAUUCAUGGCUCCUUUCCUAAGAAGCAAAUGGUGGUGACAAAUGUUCUUUAUGCCACAUUCUUGAGCUUGGAGGUUUCCUGGUUCCUAUUCAUUAAUGUACCUUAUUUCAGAACAUCUUUGAAGAGAGGAUUAGGCUUCCAUGUUUCUUUUGUAUGUUAUUAAUAUAAUGCUAAUAAAUAAAAGCUUUUUCAAACUCGGCCAAAAUUUUUGCAUGAAUAAAGAUGAGCUGUUGAGGUAAACAAAAUGGCAGGGGAGGUGAAAGAAGGCAAUUUUUGCUUGCUUUUUAUCCCCAAAGAGCAGAUUCUGCAUGUUGUGCUUUCAGGAUUCUUUAGGAAUAUGUUCUGUACACCAACUGGAACAAAUUGGAAGGUAAUGUUGGGUCUUCUAGAAAGAAAUCCACAUUCUGGCUUUUUGGCAAUCUCUACCAUGCUCCUAGGUAUGAAACUAUCCUUAGGCCAUUAUUAAUUUCCCUGCGUAGGACAAUGGGCCUGAAAUUGCCAUUAUUCAUUAGCUGAAGCUGAAAAUUCAUUAAACAUUUGAAAGAGA